rnacentral:lncRNA from 1 species
CCUCUAGCCAAUGUAGAAAAGUAAAAGAAUAACAAUACGCACAUUAAAAUUCAGUUCAAGAGAAGUCCGAGUCCGAUGUCAAAAGAUGUAACAAAAGAAAAUAAAUAAAAUGACAAUAAUACAUAAAUAACAACAGACUACUAGCAGUUAACUGACAUGCCAGCUCCAGACCUCAAUUAAACUGAUUAAACAUGUUUAUUACAGAUAUAAUAACAAUAAACUAAAAUAACACUUACCACUACUAAAUGAUUAGGAACUUUCAGGAACUAAUUGCAGCUACUGUCCAGGUUAUGUUAAACAAAUUUUCAGCUCCAACUGAUCUGUUCAGUGAAGAGUUUUUAUCAUUUAAAUAAAAUGUGAACACAUUCUAAUCUUUUGGCAGACGUGAAUAUUCUCAUGUGGCAUUUAUACCUAUAUGCAAGGGUACCUAUAUCUGGUGGUGAUGAUACACAGUGAUAAUUAACCAUUUUUUUCUUCUUUUUGUUUAAUUUU